rnacentral:rRNA from 1 species
UAGGGAAUCUUCGGCAAUGGACGAAAGUCUGACCGAGCAACGCCGCGUGAGUGAAGAAGGUUUUCGGAUCGUAAAACUCUGUUGUUAGAGAAGAACAAGGACGUUAGUAACUGAACGUCCCCUGACGGUAUCUAACCAGAAAGCCACGGCUAACUACGUGCCAGCAGCCGCGGUAAUACGUAGGUGGCAAGCGUUGUCCGGAUUUAUUGGGCGUAAAGCGAGCGCAGGCGGUUUCUUAAGUCUGAUGUGAAAGCCCCCGGCUCAACCGGGGAGGGUCAUUGGAAACUGGGAGACUUGAGUGCAGAGAGGAGAGUGGAAUUCCAUGUGUAGCGGUGAAAUGCGUAGAUAUAUGGAGGAACACCAGUGGCGAAGGCGGCUCUCUGGUCUGUAACUGACGCUGAGGCUCGAAAGCGUGGGGAGCAAACAGG